UAAAAACUUAGGAUAAAAUAAUAAACCAAGAGCCUUCAAAGUCCAAAAUAAGGGCGCAAUCCCCUUAGUUUUU
rnacentral:tRNA from 1 species